ACAGUAACUACCCAGUAACAAAAAGAAGAAAUUCUUAUGUGGAGCAAAAGAAGCCAGACACAAGAGUUUAUAUUGUGUUACUCCAAUUAUGUGAAGCACAAAAAACAUGCAUAAUUAAUUCAUUGAAAGAUAGAAGGAGUAUUGGGGUUUCUUUUGGGGGAGCAGGAAGGUGCAUUCCUUCUGGAAUGCUGGAAAUGAUACACUGAUCUGAAUGGUAGUUAUACAGAUGUGUACAUUGCUAUACACAAGAUCUGUGGACUUGACUGUAUCUAAGUUAUAUCUCAAUUAAAAAAAAUAAAACUUUAUAGUAGGCAAGCCACUCAAAAGAUAGUGUCAAACCUCCUUUGUCUAAGACACUGGUUCUCAAAUGUGGUCCACUGAGACCCUUUCAGGAGACCCAAGAGGUCAAAACUGUUUCCACAAUAAGAUGACACUAUAUGCUAUCAUCACGGUCAUUCUCUCUCCAGUAUACAGUGCAGUGCUUCCAAAGGCUACAAUGACGUAUUCUAUCACAAGAGAUUGAAGGCAGAAGCAGAGAAGCCAGCUUUCUUCUACUAAGCCAAAUGAAAUAUCUGCAAAAAUGUAGAAUACCAUACCGCUCACUAGUAAUUUUUGUUUUCUUGGAAAAGCUAUUUUUCAUAAAAGUAUUCUUUACAUUAAGAUGCAAGGAGUUUUAUUUCUAAAUGUGUACACAAAUUUAAAUUUUUUUUCCAUUUUAAUUUCCAACAUAAUAAACUUCAAUGGAUAUAAGCCCAUGUAAACAAAAGCUCUUUGACAUCCUCCACAAUCAUAAAGGGGUCCUGAGACCAUUAAGUUUGAGAAUGGCUGGCCUAAAUGAUAUACAAUGAAAAUAAGCUUCUUUUGCUACUUCUCUUGUAGUGACGAAAAAUAAGGUACAUUUUCUCUGAAACCAUCUGCGCCAGACAAAUCACAGCUACUAUAUUUAUCUGCAUACUUUCAUCCUCGAUUCAGAAAAAACAACUUCCCCUGAAUAUUAUUUUCCCUAGCUAGCUACAUCAGUUUUUAACAGCAGUUUGUCCUUAAAGCUUAAGCUAGACUUCAGAUGAAAACUUAACCAAACUUUAAGCUGCUCUGCCAGCAAAGAAAUUAUAUCCUGCUACCAACACUGUGGUCCCUAAAUUCAUACUACAAGCUGUUGGCCAAGCACAAUUGGCCCAUACGAAUCUAAAUAAAAUAAAGCCCUCCAGAAAAAUCCAGACACAAAGACACACAAAGGAAAAACAAGUUAGAGGAAACACUCAAAUUAUUUUAUUACCCUUCCCUUUACUUGUCAAUACAAAUUCAACAACUCCUAAAUCUAUUAACCCUUUUUUUUUUACCUUUCCUAUGCUCUUGUACUUAAAUUUUUUUCUUCUCUGGAAUCCAGUUUCUUCCACAUCUCUAAAGAUAAAAUUUA